GACGAACGCUGGCGGCGUGCCUAAUACAUGCAAGUCGAGCGCAGGAAGUCAUCCGAACCCUUCGGGGGGACGUUGACGGAAUGAGCGGCGGACGGGUGAGUAACACGUAAAGAACCUGCCCUCAGGUCUGGGAUAACCACGAGAAAUCGGGGCUAAUACCGGAUGGGUCAUCGGACCGCAUGGUCCGAGGAUGAAAGGCGCUUCGGCGUCGCCUGGGGAUGGCUUUGCGGUGCAUUAGCUAGUUGGUGGGGUAACGGCCCACCAAGGCGACGAUGCAUAGCCGACCUGAGAGGGUGAUCGGCCACACUGGGACUGAGACACGGCCCAGACUCCUACGGGAGGCAGCAGUAGGGAAUCUUCCACAAUGGACGAAAGUCUGAUGGAGCAACGCCGCGUGAACGAUGAAGGCCUUUCGGGUCGUAAAGUUUCUGUUGUAAAGGGAAAGAAACAAAGU
rnacentral:rRNA from 1 species